rnacentral:lncRNA from 1 species
GGGGCACGCGCGUGUCCGAGUGUGCGCGUGCGCCGGGCGCGGAUGGAGCCCGGUUGGCUCCAGAAAGCAUUGUGCGCGCGCCCGGGAGAGAGGCCACGUGUGUUCAUGCCUGGGUGGGCCUGGUGGGUGUGGAGCCAUGGAGACAAUGCCUACUUCAGCCACCACCACAGUGAAGGACAGCUGGGCCUCUGCAUCAGGGCAGAGGUCAAGGCAGCACUUCGCACCAGCAUGACUAAGGUCAGCCCAAGACUGGGGAUGGGGGCUGAGUACGUGACCUCUUGCAGGACACCACUCUUAAACAGCUUCACAGUUAAACCACUGUGGUACUGACUGCCCACUCCUGCCUACCCAGGGAAGCUGCGCCCCUUCUUAGGCUGCCAACAAUUUAAUGAGCAUUGGCUUCUUUGAAAAUAAGCAGAAGCAGCACUCCAUGCGCCGGUACUUGGGGAAAUUUGAUGAAGAGACCAGGAUUGGAGCUGACCUGUGAAGGUCCUCUGCAGUGGGUUCUGCUCGCCCAUGUGGGGUCCCCUUUAUUUCCAAACCUACCUGUUGUCUUGCUCUUCAGAGGGCCUUAAAUUCCCAUAUCUGUUCCUUUUCUAACAUAGGAAUUCCUUAUUCUUGGCCAAAUUUAAAUACCCCACCCCAGGUGACAGCAUAAGUCCCUGUCCAGCCACCUGAGCAGCAAGCUUCUCCUGGAGACCUGGAGCCCAGAGGCAGGAGGACCCGAACUUAGGAGCAGAGUAUGGGAUUCUCUCCCAUACUUAGGAGCAGAGUAUGGCAUUCUCUCCAAAUGCAAGAUUCUGGGCAUUCGGCAUUGCUUAUGCAGGUUGAUAACUAAUAAGACUUCUGCUCAAAAGUCACCAUCAGCUGGAGUCAGUGCCACAGCAGUUUCCUUGAGGCUUCAGUUUACUUGGGAAAAGGCAAAAUAACACUCCUCCUGGCCUCUCUGAGGUCUCCUACCCCACAGAAAGCCUACUUCUGUAUCAACAACGUUAACAAGGUUCUCAAAUUUCCAGAUGAGAACUCAUGUAUUUUGAUGGCACUGCUGAAAUACAGUCUCCUGAGUAAGCCCGUUACUCAAGGUUCCCUACAUCUCAAACACCCACAGCGUCCCUGGUCCCUGGAGCUGGGCUGUUGGGGAAACACGACUCAAGCAUUCAUUUAGAUAUUGAUGGGCACGUUCCAUUGGUUGGGGAGAGCUGUCCUGUCUCACACACUUGGGUGCCAAGUUGUUCCAGGGUCUCUGGUGCUGCAUGGAGGUGGGCAGAGCCAUGUUUAAUUUAUUAGAGGAAGGUGACCAGUCCUUCCCAGGACAAGACAUCCCCUAAGGUCUCACCAUGACUGGGUCUAGUCUGUGGUAUCAGACACAAUGACACAAAUUCUCCCUUUUCGUUUCUUCAAUGUCACUGGUACUUCCUCCUGCCAUUUCUUAGUUUCCUCUUAUUGAGUUACCAAGUUUCCCCUUGUAUUUAUCAAGUUUUUAAAAGUAAAUAAUAUACCAAAAAAACAUUUUAUACUAUGAUCUGAGUAAAUUGCAUGACAGAUGAACUUUUCUCAUUAAGACCUCUCUUAAAGCAUAAUUAGGGAAGAUUUUACAUGUUCCUCAUAUUAGGCAAGAAGAAAUUAUUUUGCUAGGUAUGAUAAGGGUAUUGUAUGAGAUUGACCAUACUCUUAGAAGCCCAAGGACAGGGAUAAAAAUAAAUUUCAUGUUUAUGUUAUGUUAAAAAGCUAUGUACUAUAUAAUUCUAUUCAUAUCAUUACAAAAAAAAAGCCAAAUUGAAGAGACAGAGAACUGAAUAGCAGUGCCUCAGCUGGGCUGGUUACAACGGAUAGGAGGGAAUGUGUGCGACAGAAAAGGUGACAAAGUAUUAACCUUGCCUGAUGACAGGUUUGUUUUAGCCCUCAGCUCCUAGAAAAAGACAGGUUUGAUUGUUUUAGCCCUUAGCUCCUAAAAGGCAACCAGAGAGACCAUGAAUUUCUUGCCUGAUCGGUGUCUGUUUUCUGGGGGGAACCUAGACAUGCUAGAUGGUCUAUGAUAAUAACAUUAAUAGCAAAUUAUUGAGCUUGAGGGUAGUCAUGGAAACUUGAACUUGGUGUCAGAAACGAGGUUGGUCUUUAGUAUCCCCAAAUUUAUAGCUGGUAUUAUUAGUGACUGGUCCUGGGGAGCUCUGCACUUGUAGUAUCAGAAAUAAGGUGGUUGUUGAGACUCCAAUACAGCAAAACUGCUUUGUUAUCUUAUUGUGGCUGC